GACACAUCAACUCCUAUCCCUACCUCCUCGUGGUACUGGCCGGGGUACGAGUAACCUUGGGGAAGAUCGGGUAACCAACCCCCGGUGGGAACUUUGGUCGUAUGCUGACAGGGAAGG
rnacentral:ribozyme from 1 species